CCGGGCGGGGCCGGGGCCGGGGCGGGCCUUGCUCCCCCACUACCCCCGGCUGCGCCCGCGGCUCCGGAAACGCGCCGCGGGGCUGCUGGGCUCAGCCGCGCGCGGGCGGCUCCGUGGCGUUUCCUGCCACGCCGGGCCUGCCUGGGCCUCGCCAACGCCGCUCCGCCGAGGUCCGCGCGUCGGCCGCCACGGGGCCGGGCUCUGCCUGCCCCCCCAGGGUCUUGCCCUUCCCCAGGAUGGACCCCCAGGAAACCAGGUCCUGGCAGGCCCUCUUGAGAUCCUUGAGGCCCAGGAUUCAGUGACAUUUGAUGACGUGGCCCAGUACCUCACAAAAAAGGAGCGCCUGAGACUGGACGCUGAGCAGAGGACACUGGCAUACUACAGGAAUGUGAACUCCGUGGGCACUGAGGAGUGUGAGCAGGCAGAAAGGGAGGACCAGCUCUUCACAACAAGUCCCUGGCACUCCACCCAGGAGUUCCUGUUUUGAUUGCUGCCUGGCUCCUCACCUGGUACAAGGCCACGUGGUGCUGGCAUCUGAGCCAUCCCUGAACACAGACUGAGGUAAGCAUUCCGCUGAGUGCAAAAGAACCCCGGAAAGUGCGAAGAAACUGUGGAGGAGGCCCCCGCCGAGCCUUUGGGGAGGGGGUGUGGCUGCUUCUCAGUCACAGGAGGGGAGACCUCCUCAGCACCCCUUUGGUAGGGGGCGUCCAGCAGUGACA
rnacentral:lncRNA from 1 species